GCCUGGAUGGCUUACUCAGUUAAGCGUCCGACUUCAGCUCAGGUCAUGAUCUCAUCAUGGUCUGUGGGUUCAAGCCCCACACCAGGCU
rnacentral:tRNA from 1 species